GGCUAAUUUGACUCAACACGGGGAACCUCAUCAGGCCAGGACACCGGAAGGAUUGACAGAUUGAGAGCUCUUUCUUGAUUCGGUGGGUGGUGGUGCAUGGCCGUUCUUAGUUCGUGGAGUGAUUUGUCUGCUUAAUUGCGAUAACGAACGAGAUCCUACCCUACUAACUAGUCGAAACCGGCAUCCCCUGUGCAGCCGGCGACCAACACUCUUCUUAGAGGGACAGGCGGCUUCCAGCCGCAGGAAGUGGGGCAAUAACAGGUCUGUAAUGCCCUUAGAUGUUCUGGGCAGCACGCGCGCUACACUGAAGGGAUCAACGUGUGUUUUCCUUGCUCGAGAGGGCCGGGUAACCCGUUGAAACUCCUUCGUGCUAGGGAUUGGGGCUUGCAAUUAUUCCCCACCAACGAGGAAUGCCUAGUAAGCGGGAAUCAUUACUUCCUGCUGAUUAAGUCAGCCCCA
rnacentral:rRNA from 1 species